ACUGGCCCCUGGGAUUUGCUGCUCAGAACCUGAGUUCACUGAGACAUCAGGAGCAAGCACUGGAGGCCGGGUGCUGCUGGACCCAGAUGGGAGCCAUGCAGGACUUGACCAUGGCCUGCACACACUUCUUCCCAGGAGAAGGGGAAUGAGGAAGAACUAGAUCCUAAGAGCAGAAGACAAUCAUAUGUCCUGAGAACCCAUUGGAGGUUGAACAGCGCUGGGUGGAUGGAGAAAGGCAGAAAUGCAGAAUUUCGUCAUUGCCUGGAUGCUGACUUUAUCCAAAGAGAAGAUGCAUGAGGAGUGUACAUGCCUCAGAACUGGAUGCUGAGACAUGCCCCCGCGAUCCCAAGACCACCAGGUACCGUGAGCAAUCACUGGAGCUGGAACACUGCUGCCUGAGGAAGAGAAGAAGUGCAGGCUUGUCAUUGUCUAUGCUGUUACUUGUGGUUCCCGGGUCUUCAGAGAGGAUGCACAAGAACGGGAGAACCGGCCCCUGGGAUUUGCUGCUCAGGACCCGAGUUCACUGAGACAUCAGGAGCAAGCACUGGAGGCCGGUGCUGCUGGAUCCAGAUGGGAGCCAUGCAGGACUUGACCAUGGCCUGCACACACUUCUUCCCAGGAGAAGGGGAAUGAGGAAGGCAGACUGGCAUCACAGGACCCUUCAGAGUAUUAAUGCAGACCUUCGUGACAGAGGUCCAGUACCAAGUGCUCAGCGGUGCUAAGGUCCAGGGACAGGAGGCAGAAGGGCGGGUUCCAGCCCGCUCAGCUGGCCAUGGUAAAAUACUAGCUGGUGUCCUAGGGCAGCAAGGCGCCUCCCUCUCCAGGUUAUGAAAACAUUGCAGUCUGAGUUUCUGUUGGGACCUGAGAAGAAGUCAAGGAAGCCCUGCAAGGCACUCACAGCUGCUCCUGCUGUCUGUAAUCGGCCGCCAUCUUCCUUCAUUCUCUGGUGACUGAGGUCCAGGAACAGGAAGCAGAGGGGCAGGUUCCACCCCGCUCAGCUGGCCAUGAACCGGCCCCUGGGAUUUGCUGCUCAGGACCCGAGUUCAGUGAGACAUCAGGAGCAAGCACUGGAGGCCGGUGCUGCUGGACCCAGAUGGGAGCCAUGCAGGACUUGACCAUGGCCUGCACACACUUCUUCCCAGGAGAAGGGGAAUGAGGAAGAAAGGCUCAUGGCGUCUAUGUCGUAAAUGAGCUGUGGAUUUGCUAUGCCCCUUCUCUUCAGCAACCCUUAUUUUUCUUGCCUGUACAUCUCUACUGUGGGAAUCACAGGGAAGCUGCUGCAGCACAACUUGAAAUAGAAAGCUGGAUGGUAUGAAUUUAGGACAAGAACAUGAGAAGAAGGGCUCCAGAGAGGAUUCAUUAAGAGCAUUUUCUGCUCUUCCAGAAGCAUCCGAGUUUGGUGUGGGCACCCAAGUCAUUAGGCUCAGAGCUGCUUGGCACCAGGAGAUGUCAGGAAGCUGGUAUAAAUCCUCAUGGGACUUGAAGGGCGAGUGGCCUGAAGUGGGUCACAAGUGAUCAGGGAUUCUCAAACUGCUGUUCCCAGCUUGCAUUUAAAAAUGGGAAAUAACUCAAAAGACAAUUGCAAACUCUCUGCAGUCAAGAUGGCUCCUGCUUGUAAUCUCAGUGUUCAGAAGGUCUGGAUCCCCUAGGGUUGCCACCAGGAUCACCAGAAAGUUUGUUAAAUAGAGAAGCACUUGAUAGAAGGCACCUGGAUAAGGAUGGACAGAAAUCAGAGGCCUUGGCUAUCUGGAUUCUGACUUCUUCAAAAAGAUGAGAUGAUAGAUGAGAGUGGGUGCCUUAGAUCUCACUUCCUUUUCUUUAACAUAUUUUUGUUGCUGGGAUGAGAUUCUAGCCAUUCCUAAUAUAAAUACUAUUGAAAGCAAAGGGAAACCGAAAAUUUAGUUCUUGUAUCUGCUCACUCUUAAGACGGAAUAACAAAAAGCUGAAGCCUGGGUCUAUUGCAGAUGUUUUGUUGUUUCCUCAGGUUGGAAUGGUAGGAGCAGAGCAAGAUCCUUGAUGAUGGGCCAAUACUGUUCUCUUAUGGCACAAGUUCCAGUAUAUAGAUAAUUUCUGCCACACAAGGCCCUAGAAGCCCCUAAAACUGAGUCUAUGGGUGCUCAAGUGGUUGCAGACUCUGCUAAACAUUACAUUAUUUCUGUGGGUACCCUGCAGCCAUUCAUUAGUAUAGUCUUGAUACAUAACCUAGUAAACAGGACCCGAACCAAGUGUAUAGUUGUCCUGAGGUACAUGAAGAAUAAGUGGAGGGGCAGAACUUCACAGUUUGCUUUUUAAAAGAUUUUUAAAAAUUACUUAUUGGGGUUGGAGAAAUGGCUUUUCGUUAAGAGCACUGACUGCUCUUCCAGAGGUCCUGAGUUCAGUUCCCAGCAACCACAUGGU
rnacentral:lncRNA from 1 species